rnacentral:tRNA from 1 species
AGAGAGAGUCCAUUCUACAUGUCAAUAUCGACAACAUUCAAGUCCCUCUAUCCCCA